rnacentral:rRNA from 1 species
GGAUCAUUAAAGCAUGAUUAGGGGGUUUAAGAUGCCGCGCUCACGCGUGUGCGCCCCCCGUCUUCUAAUCCACUUUCACACCUGUGCACUUAUGGCGAGCGCCNNCCNNUNCGAANUNGNCCNNNNCCUUNGGGGNCGAANGGGGGGGCCUCCCAUUCGGAGCUGUCCCGCGCCUUUGGUGUCGGACUGGGGUGCUCCCAUCUUAACACCAUACCCCAUCUUAAUAACGCAUGUCAACGUCCCACGGGGCAAAAAGUUAAUACAACUUUCAACAACGGAUCUCUUGGCUUUCGCAUCGAUGAAGAACGCCGCGAACGUGCGAAACGUAAUGUGAAUUGCAGAAUUCAGUGAAUCAUCGAAUCUUUGAACGCAUCUUGCGCCCCUUGGAAUUCCGAGGGGCAUGCCUGUUUGAGCGUCGUGAACCACCCUCAAGCCUGCCUCUUUGUUGAGGUGGGCUUGGAUUUGGAUGUCUGCGGGGGGAGGGCUUACCCUUCGGGGUCUCGCCGCCCGCUCGUCUUUAAAUGCAUUAGCUUUGGUCUCGGUUCCAGCGAGGGUGUGAUAACAAACGCUUCGUUGACCGUGGCGCCGCUCGUCUGGCGGCUGAGGCCUGCUUACAGUCGUCUUCGGACAAACAUAAUUCAUGUCGUCUGACCUCAAAU